GAUGAACGCUAGCGACAGGCCUAACACAUGCAAGUCGAGGGGUAGAGGUUGCUUGCAACCUUGAGACCGGCGCACGGGUGCGUAACGCGUAUGCAAUCUGCCUUGUACUGAGGGAUAGCCCAGAGAAAUUUGGAUUAAUACCUCAUAGUAUCUUUUCCCGGCAUCGGGAGAUUAUUAAAGUUCCAACGGUACAAGAUGAGCAUGCGUCCCAUUAGCUAGUUGGUAUGGUAACGGCAUACCAAGGCAAUGAUGGGUAGGGGUCCUGAGAGGGGGAUCCCCCACACUGGUACUGAGACACGGACCAGACUCCUACGGGAGACAGCAGUGUGGAAUAUUGGUCAAUGGGCGCAAGCCUGAACCAGCCAUGCCGCGUGUGUGAAGAAGGCCUUAUGGUUGUAAAGCACUUUAAGCGAGGAGGAGGCUCUUUUGGUUAAUACCCAAGAUGGGUGGACGUUACUCGCAGAAUAAGCACCGGCUAACUCUGUGCCAGCCGCCGCCGUAA
rnacentral:rRNA from 1 species